rnacentral:rRNA from 1 species
AAUGGCAGGUACAGAGGGAUGCUACCGGGCGACCGGAUGCGGAUCUCGAAAGCCUGUCCCAGUUCGGACUGGAGUCUGCAACCCGACUCCACGAAGUUGGAUACGCUAGUAAUCGCGCAUCAGCCAUGGCGCGGUGAAUACGUUCCCGGGCCUUGUACACACCGCCCGUCAAGCCAUGGGAGCCGGGGGCGCCUGAAGUCCGGGACCGCGAGGACCGGCCUAGGGCGAAACUGGUAACUGGGGCUAAGUCGUAACAAGGUACC